rnacentral:ribozyme from 1 species
GUGAGUGGUUCUGUGAAAGGGUUGGAUCCGACGCCUCUAGAAGGCUACUAUAGGCUCUCCUUCUCAACUCCUACUCAAUACGUCCACG